AGCUUUUCUAGUGUAUGUUUAUGUUAUUGCAGUUGUAACGCUCGUAGUUAGUAUAUUUUGAUUGUGAGUAAAGGUAUUUGAUUAAAGUUUGCUUUUAGCGUGGGAUUUCUUUGCAUGUGUCCUCUAAGGACAAAUAGAUCACAAAAACAACUCGGGGCGCUAGUAUGGGCCGGCCAGAGGUGAAAUUCACGGAUUCGGCCCGGACUCUCUACAGCGAAAGCAGCCGCCAAACUUGUCUUUUUUA
rnacentral:rRNA from 1 species